ACAAACUUGGUCAUUUAGAGGAAGUAAAAGUCGUAACAAGGUUUCCGUAGGUGAACCUGCGGAAGGAUCAUUACUGUUAUUCAUCAUAAACACCCAGAGUUCAGACUUUUGUUUGAACUCUUUGUGUGUUUGCAAACAAAAACACCCUCGAAAACAGCUUUUUAGUGUCUGACAGUUAACUAGGUUAACUAGUUUAAUACAAAAACAACUUUCAACAACGGAUCUCUUGGCUCUUGCAUCGAUGAAGAACGCAGC
rnacentral:misc_RNA from 1 species